GUGGAUUAGAUACCCUGGUAGUCCAUGCCGUAAACGUUGGGCACUAGGUGUGGGCAUCAACCAACGAUGUCCGCGCCGUCGCUAACGCAUUAAGUGCCCCGCCUGGGGAGUACGGUCGCAAGACUAAAACUCAAAGGAAUUGACGGGGGCCCGCACAAGCAGCGGAGCGUGUUGCUUAAUUCGAUGCUACGCGAAGAACCUUACCUAGGUUUGACAUGUACGGAAUAGCCACAGAGAUGUGGUGUCCUUCGGGGCCGUACACAGGUGGUGCACGGUCGUCGACAGCU
rnacentral:rRNA from 1 species